UCCUUCGUGGUGUAGUGGUCAGCACACUCGACGCGUAUUCGAGAGGUCCGUGGUUCGAGUCCUGGCGACGGCA
rnacentral:tRNA from 1 species